rnacentral:rRNA from 1 species
GUAGGGAAUAUUGCGCAAUGGACGAAAGUCUGACGCAGCGACGCCGCGUGCAGGAAGAAGGCCUUCGGGUUGUAAACUGCUUUUGUACGGAACGAAACGGUCCGGGUUAAUACCCUGGGCUAAUGAUGGUACCGUAAGAAUAAGCACCGGCUAACUACGUGCCAGCAGCCGCGGUAAUACGUAGGGUGCAAGCGUUAAUCGGAAUUACUGGGCGUAAAGCGUGCGCAGGCGGUUUUGUAAGACAGGCGUGAAAUCCCCGGGCUCAACCUGGGAAUUGCGCUUGUGCCUGCAAGGCUGGAGUGCGGCAGAGGGGGAUGGAAUUCCGCGUGUAGCAGUGAAAUGCGUAGAUAUGCGGAGGAACACCGAUGGCGAAGGCAAUCCCCUGGGCCUGCACUGACGCUCAUGCACGAAAGCGUGGGGAGCAAACAGGAUUAGAUACCCGAGUAGUCC